UUACAUUGUUGUUUGUGAAGGGGAUGUUAAUCUAUUAACUACUACUUAAUUAUUGAUAUGGUUGACAAAUGAUACAUUAAUGAUAUGAUUGAUUUUUUUUUGUUGAAAUAGACAUAGUUGAUAAUAAAUGUAGAAGGAAACUUAUAAGCUGCACAAGUUGAGGUAUCAAUGUAUAGUCCCUUGACAUUAAGGGCUUAUGGCUGCUAACACCAAAGGGUCAACCCUUCCACUAAGGUCAUUUGUUGAAGAAUGGAUCUUUCAACCUGCCUUCAUGAGGUACUAACUGAUUCGUUCAUCCUCAAUCAGAGGUCUCGGACAAAUAUAGGCUAUUUUACAAAGAGAUAUUUACACAAAUAGCCAACUGGUUUCAUUGUCUGCAUUAUUGAUUAUAUGUUAAAGCACCUCGUAUAAAUUUUAUACGAGGUACUAGUCCUUCCUCCAGCACAACAUAUUCACGAACGAAUCUAUCAACUGAGGUUUUAUUCUGAAAAAUUACAACAAAAAUAUUAACAAAUUCAGUGAAUUCUCACAAGUGGCUCUGGGGAGGAUAGUGUGUACGAAUAUUUUAUCCCUGCAUUAGGAGCAAAGAGAAGUUGUUUCCGAUAGACCAUCGAGGGAGCUAAUAAGAUGUUCAGUUCCCUUAUUUUCAAAUGAUACUGGAUAAAAUUCGAUAUCAAUAGAUACUUUUUCAAAUAUAUUAUUUAUUGUUUUUAUUUAUAGUUUUGUUUGAUUUUAGAUCAUCUUAAGAGAGAAAUGAAAGGAGAUCAACUCUUUUCAGAAAACAGACAACACUACUAAAAACAGGUCAUUUUGUUUUUAUUUACUUCUGAAAAACAAAAAUAUCUAUAGUGCUCUUUCGUUAUCACCAAAGAGCCCCUCCAUUUUUAACAAAAUGACAAACAACAAUACUCUUUCUCUUUGUUUUCUUCUUGACAUGUCUCUUUUCUGUUCUUAUAUACUUUUGAUACACAAGCAAUUAAUGUUACAUAGAAGGACAUCUUUAAUUAAUUUGGGGGACAUAAAUGCAAUUACACUGUUAGAGAUAGAGUAACCUAAUUGAAGGGAACCUUGAAGUAACGAUAACGUUGUCUCCAUGUGACAUAUAGGUCACGAGUUCGAGCAGUAGAAGCAACCAACUUGUAUUAAGUUAGACUGUCUGUAUCAAAGCGACCCCUCCCCAAAUAAAGGUCUCUUUGACCAGCAACUUUUUGAUAAUUAGCAACCAACCCCACCUUCACCCACCCAAACAAGAAAUAAUUAAAAAAAGAUAUUAAUAGUAUCUCCAUUUAAGAGCAAUGACUCAAAGUGGAACAUGUGGUGGCACAGAAUUAAAGAAAUACAAGUGCUACAACCCAAAUUAUAAAUUUUUAAAUAAUUAAUCAAUUAAUAGCUCCUAUGUAAUUAUGUGUAUUCUUUAAAAUAUAUCCAAUUCCAAGUCUAGAUGAAGAAGAAAGAGCUGUGUUAGGUCGACGGAUAGAAGAGUCAAAAAAAUUUAAUGUAUAAAACAUUGAGAUGUUAAAACCUUUUAACCACAUUUUAAAUAUUUUUAUGAAGGUAAACAACAUUUGCGGGUGAGAUUUUACUUUUUAGGGGUCAAAUUUUAUUAUUUAGCUCAUGAUUUUUAAAACAUCUCAUCAUAAGCAUUUAGAAAAUAUGACCUUUAUUGGAAGCAAGUAUCUUGAUGUUAUUUUUUAUUAUCAAGUUCAUAUAAUUAUGAUUUUAACUUAUACUAUUUAUUGGUUUCAAGUGGAAAAUUAGCAAUUUGACCUCAAAAAAGUUAAAUUACGUGACAUAAAAUUUAAAGAAGAAGGGAGUUUGAAUUUUUCCAUUUUGAGGAAUGGUAAAGAAAUUUAAGGACCCAUUUGUCCAUAAAUCCCCCUCCCCUUCCCUUUUUCCGAAACUUAUCUUUAAAACAUUGUUUGGUUAUACAUUAACUGAAUAUUUGAAGAUGAGUUUCAAAUUUGAAAAAAGCGUGUUUUACCUCAUUGUCAAGUAAAUAAUAUUUUCUUCUCAUAAAAUUAUAAUAUUUUUUUCAAGUGAAAUAUAUGUGCAAAAUAUAAUUUUAAAUUUCAAAUACCUUUUUCCAACUUAACUUCAAAAACUAUUUUUUUCCCUUCAAAAAUCACAUUUUUUAUGUCCAAAUGCCUACUAAACUAAUAGACUUCUGUAGAUAUCAAUUAAGAUGACCUCAUAGAAUAAAGAUUCUUUACACUAAUAAUGUAUACUAUUACUUAAACUAUUUGGGGAAUUAAUGGUAAAGAAACUAAACUAGUAGGAUCCUUCUUGCCUGUCAAAGGAGAAGUCACUAAAAUCAGAUAACCAGUCCAAUUAAGACAUUGUCCUUAGUCACACAAAUGGAAAUUUGGUCAAUUGACCAAGUACUAACAAAUUAAAACCAUCUAUAAGACCAUGACUGCAUAAAAAAAGACUUGGAUUUGGACUUGGCCUCAUCGGCUCCACAUAGAAUAAUAUGUUGAAUAGUUCUAACAUAGUACUUACUACUACUUUAUAUAAACCAAACCAAAAUAUCCAAAGGAAAGAAGACAGAAUCCAACAUUGACCAUGAUUACAUGUUUUUCUCCUACCUUUCUUUGCUAAGAAAUGGUCAUGCUUGCCCAUAUAUUUUUGAACAAUUUAGUUCUACUUCUAAUACUCACUUUUAAGCUAAACAAGAGAAAAGAAAGAACAUUCUCCUAUACAAGAUUUGGAUUAAAGUUAAAAAAAAUUUCUUAAGACAAAUACAAGAUUUGGAUUAAAGUUACUAGGUUCAGAAGAACGCAUAACCUAAACUCUAGCUCUGCCGCUAACCCCAUAAGCCACAUUCCACCAACCAAGGGCGAAUGUAGUGUUGAACCGACGAGUUCAAUUGAACCCAUAACUUUCGAUGCAGAAUAAAAAUUUAUAUGUAAAAAUUUAUUAAAAUUGCAAAAAUAGUAGAUAUGAACCCAUAACUUUAUAAAUAUAAUAGAUUCAAUGCUAAAAAUCUUGAAAGUUGAACCCAUAGGAAUUAAAUCCUGAAUCCAACUCUGCCACCAACUCAUUCUCCUACCUUUGAUUAGGGUGGAGUGCUGGGAAAGGGGAAGACUAGUGGCAGUGACACCCUUUUGCAAAAACUUUUCUUAUAUAUGUGAAUGUAGAUGACAUUUACAAAGAACAAUACAUAUAUAUACAAAUAGGCAUAAAAUUCUUGAAAAUAAUAGAAAAUAAAUAUUAAUUUGUGAGAUAAUUCAAAGCCUAAAACGAUCGCAGUCCUAGACCUAAACACAAUUACAAACCGAAUUGUGACAAUGAACGGCCAUUGCUUGCAUAAAAUCAUGUGUCGUACAUCACUAGGCAAGACUUGCCACUAAUGAAUAUUAUACUAUAACAACUACUACGUCUCAAUCUCAAACUGUUAGAAUCACAAAAAGAAGAUUAUGCGAGUCAAAGUUGCCAGUGAAAAUUUUCAAAACAACUCAAAAAAUGCUUGAUUUGAAGCUCAACAUGCAUGCAUGGCUCCUAGCAUGCCAUCUGAAAAGGCCAUCAAUUAUUGGUGGAACAAUGCAAGUGGCAUACAAGGAGCCAGGCAUGUAUUUAUAUAUCAUGAAAACAAGCGACUUACCUUUCAUGAUUUUAAGACUCUAGACUGAAUCAGAUUGAGAACACCAACGGAACACUCUCUUACCCCCACUGACCGGCUAGUGUGCAAUGACGACCGGCCUGCAAGGUACUAUAUUUUUUUCUUAGCUGCUCUGAAUUCUAUUCUAGAUGCUACCUACUUACAUAUGAUACUUACCUUUCUUGAUUUCCAGACUCGAGACUGAAUCAAACAACUUGUCUUGAUUUUCUGUAUAGCCAAGGUUCUGGUGAAAC
rnacentral:lncRNA from 1 species